GGAAGUAAAAGUCGUAACAAGAUUUCCGUAGGUGAACCUGCGGAAGGAUCAUUACUGAGUGAGGGCCCCUCGGGGUCCAACCUCCCACCCGUGUUUAACGAACCUUGUUGCUUCGGCGGGCCCGCCUCACGGCCGCCGGGGGGCAUUUGCCCCCGGGCCCGCGCCCGCCGAAGCCACCUGUGAACGCUGUCUGAAGUAUGCAGUCUGAGACAAUUAUUAAAUUAAUUAAAACUUUCAACAACGGAUCUCUUGGUUCCG
rnacentral:misc_RNA from 1 species